CAAAACUCUUCUAAUGGUCUAUAAUCUAAAGAAGGUCAAGAAUCAGUAUUCCUUUCACUGGACAAUUAGAGGUCCAUGACUGUGAACUUUCUAUUGAAUGCCAGACUUCAUUCAGGAUGUUUUCACUUGGGUUUUUCUCAGGAAGUAGAACAGAUCUGAUAUUUUUAGCUUCUGUGUACAGACAAGAGACACUGAACCGAACACAACCUCAUUUCCUUUGGCUGCCCUGUGUCCUACCCUUGGGGAAAUCUCCCCUCGAACCAUCACAAGCGAGAAGUUUCCUAAGUAAGCACUUGAUCAUCUACAUCCUGGACAGUGAAUCUGAAAUCUGCACGUGUCUGCGAAGAAAAGGUAAAACAUAACAAAACAGACGUGGUCACUGGUAACAGAAAGGGUUCUUUGGGGCUAAACUUAAGCUGAAAACCAGGACUUAUUCAGAUAAAGUAUCUGGUGAGGUAAAACCGUAAUACCUUAGUGUAAUAAGAUUCUGU
rnacentral:lncRNA from 1 species